GACAAAACUAGUUUUUUAACUAUAUGGUGAACUCUGAGUAUGCCAAAGUACUGCCAUACUUGUAAAAUAAAGCAAUGGAUAAGUUACAAAUCAAAUUACCUAAGAAUGAAAUGUUUCCAAAAAACCCGUAAAACAAGUAACAGAAUCUCUUUCUCCACCUCUUGCCUUUCUCCUUCCUGCCACUCUCUAGGAGCGCACUCCCCAGACCUCGAUGCGUGACUGCUCCUCUCUGCCGCAGAGUCCAUCUGGCCACAAAGCUUCAACACUCACCUCUAUACCAAUGACUCUCAAAUCCAAAUCUAAACUCCAGAUUUUUCUCAUGACCACUUUUAUUCAGUUGUCUCCAGGUUCCAACAGGAAUUUUCUACUGGCUGCCCUCUUGUCUCUUCUAACUCACUGUGUCCUAAACCUACUCUCCGUACUCUCCCUACGGCCCCUCAGUCUCCAAUCGCCCCUUCUCUCACAGGAAUACAACUUCCAUUUUUUUCUUGGCACAUGAGCUGCCUGGAAUAAAUAAAAAUUUGAGUGUGCCCAACUUCUGACAAAUUCCCUUAAAGAGAAAGAGUGGUCCUUCUUAUUCACCCCUUCCUUCUGCCUUCCAGCUAGAAUGAGGACGAAACGGUGGUACGCCAGCACCAUUGUGGAUGAUGUGGGCUGGUGGGACAGAAAGCCAGAGGAGCCCAAUGAUUGUGUGAAACAAACCUAGAUGGAUAACCUCCAACUUUUAUGUGAGAAGAUAAACCACGGAUGUUUAAGUCACCGUUAGUUUUGGUCUUCUAUGCAUGUAGUACCUGAACCCUCAUCCUAUGUUUGAGGAACCCCACCUUAAGAGUCAAAGCCCGCCUCCUACUGUGGAAGCUGAAAAGGCCAGGUACUUGCUCUCUCAGCCCCCGCCCGCUCCCCCUUGAAGCCAGGACUCAGGUACACGGCCUGGGUAUGCCUAUUUGAAGCUGGAACAGUGCCAGACUGUUUCUGGUGGCAAAGAGCACAGUCAGGAGCGCAGGGGCAGAGCAGUAACAGCAGCAUCGACCCAGCACCCAACUCCAGCAGUGCUGGCAAUGGGAACUUUGGUGCAGCACGGACAGCGGUCCUGAUGGGACACCCUUAUGGAUGCCUAGACUCCAGACCUGAUUUCCCCUGCAUCCAGUAAUGCUAGACAGGAAAAAGUUUCUAUCAAGACAGACAAGGACCUGCUACGUGGGAUCAAAAACCCGGAUUUAAUGGAAUUAUUUCCCUUAUUUGAUCCACUGCAUAUUAACAUAUUGAAAAUAUCUGUGCUCUAAAGUAGACUGUAUCAUGGAUGCAGUUAUUAAAAUUGUUCAGUAUACAUGUGCAAAUGCUCUGACUCAUCACCAGUUUAUGGAACUGUUAAAAGAAAUGGAAGAUAAUGAAUAUGACUACAUGUUCUUUGCCAAUGUUCACUGCUUGAGUCAUGGAAGAAUUUUACAAAGGUUUACUGUACUGUUAACUCUAAUUCAAGAUUUUCUUGAAACAAAAGGAACACCUGCCAAUUCUGAACAAAGAGAAAACAUCACAGCAUGAUUUACAUUUUUUCACCUAUAUCACAGUGCACAUGAAUGAGCUAAAUUUAAAGAUCCAAGGAGAGAAUAAAAGCUUGCUUGUGACCUAGCUAGACAGGUAUGAGAAUUUAUGUUAAAAUUUAAACUAUUCAUAAUACAAAUCAAUAAUGACUUUACACAUUUCAGUGUGAACAAAUAUACAGAAGAUUUUAAAUACGAUGGCAUUAUGUAAGUUGUCUGCAAAAUCCAUAAGAAAAAUUGAAGAAUGCUUUGUUGAUAUGGACAAAUUUGGAGUUGAUUUUCAGUUUAUAUAAUGGUCCUUUGAAUUUGAUGUUGAUAAUACUGAGUGGUUACAAGAGUUAGUGGAUUUACUUAAAUUAGAUACAGUUUUGAGACUGAUAUGCUUUUGCUUUGGGCUCAAUUCUAAAAAAGACGAGUCAGUCUUGUCAAAACAGAUGCCAAGUAUUAAAGAAAAUGGGGUUUUUUAAAUUCAUUUAUUGGAAAAUUUUUAAUAGUGUUUGGAAUCUACAUUUUUAACUGCAAUUUUUAUGACUAAAUACAGAUCAAGCAUUUCUGACGAAAAGUUAGCAUCUGAAUGGAGAUGUGCUGUACAUGUAAAAUACAUACUGGAUUUUGAAGGUUUCAUAUUAAAAAAAGAUGCACACUAUGUCUAAUAAUUCUAUAUGGAUUACCAUGUUGACAUGAUAAUAUUUUGGAUAACUGGGUUAAAUAAAAUAUACA